rnacentral:rRNA from 1 species
UACGUAGGGUGCGAGCGUUGUCCGGAAUUAUUGGGCGUAAAGAGCUUGUAGGCGGUUUGUCGCGUCUGCUGUGAAAAUCCGGGGCUCAACCCCGGACUUGCAGUGGGUACGGGCAGACUAGAGUGUGGUAGGGGAGACUGGAAUUCCUGGUGUAGCGGUGAAAUGCGCAGAUAUCAGGAGGAACACCGAUGGCGAAGGCAGGUCUCUGGGCCACUACUGACGCUGAGAAGCGAAAGAAUGGGGAGCGAACAGGAUUAGAUACCCCGGUA